rnacentral:rRNA from 1 species
AGUGAACGCUGGCGGUAGGCCUAACACAUGCAAGUCGAACGGCAGCACAGUAAGAGCUUGCUCUUACGGGUGGCGAGUGGCGGACGGGUGAGGAAUACAUCGGAAUCUACUUUUUCGUGGGGGAUAACGUAGGGAAACUUACGCUAAUACCGCAUACGACCUACGGGUGAAAGCAGGGGAUCUUCGGACCUUGCGCGAUUGAAUGAGCCGAUGUCGGAUUAGCUAGUUGGCGGGGUAAAGGCCCACCAAGGCGACGAUCCGUAGCUGGUCUGAGAGGAUGGUCAGCCACACUGGAACUGAGACCCGGUCCAGACUCCUACGGGAGGCCGCAGUGGGGAAUAUUGGACAAUGGGCGCCAGCCUGAUCCAGCCAUACCGCGUGUGUGAAGAAGACCUUCGGGUUGUAAAGCCCUUUUGUUGGGAAAGAACAGCAGCAGGUUAAUACCCCGCUGUUCUGACGGUACCCAGAGAAUAAGCACCGGCUAACUUCGUG